rnacentral:rRNA from 1 species
UACAACACCAAAGGUGUUUUGUAUUUGAGAGAUAGAGAUUGAUUUUCAGCGAAGUUCCGAGAUUGGGCUGGCUGGCUGUGUGAAUGAUUGCAUAGCGGGUUAGUUUAGACAGAAUUUGCCUGGCGGCCAUAGCGCGGUGGACCCACCUGAACCCAUGCCGAACUCAGAAGUGAAACGCCGUAGCGCCGAUGGUAGUGUGGGGUCUCCCCAUGCGAGAGUAGGACACUGCCAGGCAUCAAAU